UACGGGGGGGGGCAAGCGUUGUUCGGAAUUACUGGGCGUAAAGGGCGCGUAGGCGGUCAGCACAAGUCAGUUGUGAAAUCUCCGGGCUUAACCCGGAAAGGUCAACUGAUACUGUGCGACUAGAGUGCGGAAGGGGCAACUGGAAUUCUCGGUGUAGCGGUGAAAUGCGUAGAUAUCGAGAGGAACACCUGCGGCGAAGGCGGGUUGCUGGGCCGACACGUGACGCUGAUGCGCGAAAGCCAGGGGAGCGAACGGG
rnacentral:rRNA from 1 species